GCUAUGACGGGCCCGAGGGACAGUUCGCUGUUCACACGAGACAAGGAGAGCAUUCCAGCCUACAAUCUCAGACGACGGAGAGCAGCGUUUUUGGCGCGAGAAUAACACUAGAACAGUUUGGAGGGAACAGCAGCAGCCAGUUCGUCUCGAAACGAACAUGAAAAUUCAUCGUCGCUCCGCGAUGUUAUCGAUUCGCUGAAUUAUUAACGACUGUGGCAUUGACAACUACUACUGGUUGCGAUGUCGUUGCGUCACCGCUCCUUCGGUCGGUGCCGAAAGGAGCCGCAUUUUAAUCGAAACAUCGCGAGAUUACGUAAACGAGAUGGACGUGCACCUUGCGAGAGAGACGACGACCGGCACCCGGCAGUGGUGACAGGCCCAUUCACGAAAAGUUUCGCUCUUGCAGCGUGUUUGAUAAGAACCUGGACACGCCAUUUAUCUGGAAAAGAAACAUUCUUUUUGUAAAAAAAUUCUUAUACAGAUGGAAUUUAUUUUACGGAUCUACUUUUUUAGUAAAACAUCAUACUGUAAAAAAAAACUAAUUUCGUUAGUUUUAAAUUAAAUUUAAAGUCACGGUA